UGCACCCCAGAGGGAAGCCCUUCCCGAACCGGGCUUGGUGCUAAGAAGCCCAGCGGUGAAGUCACCUCCGACCACCACCAAUGGAAGGACCUCCUGGAGAGGUCAUUCUAUGGACCGGCAGCCAGGACACGGGUUCAGAACCCCCAUGCGCCCAGACUGCACACCCCCCCCCGUCGGUGCAGAAACAGAAGCACUGAUGUUAUAGAUACAAGACUUCCUGGAUAGAUCAUUUUGCACCGCUCCCUGCAGCUAACCAUGACCACGGGAACAAGUUUGACCCAUGGGGUAUAUGUGACUUCCUGGUAGUGUUCCAAAAGUGAAGAGACAGCUAUUGCAAAGGAUGGUCUUUGCUUCCUGUUGAUUGGGGUGAGGAAAUGGUGCUACCACCUUGGGAAUAAGUUGGCCUCCCAGGAUCAUGACGUGGCAAGACUGAGUUUUGAUGCCAGAUCUUGGUUCUGUUGGCCUUCAGAGGGGAACCACCCAUUGAAUCUUCCAGUUCCCAAGUCGUGGGACUCAACCAUCAACUCUCCCACAUCCAGCUUGCCAGCUCAGCCUGCAGAUCUUUGGACUUGCCAACCUCCAUAAUUGUUUACAACUGUAGCUAUGAAACAGCCAAGAUUCAAACACAUUUGACCAAGAACAAUGGCAAUCUCAUAAGAUUCAACAACAAUUGGAAAUGACUGGAGCAUGUUGAACAGCACCCCCUUACAGGCUGGUCAAGGGAAGAGACAAAGGCGCACUAAGUCCUCAUCUUCCAUGGUAUGGAAUCAGAAGACCUGAAACUGAAAAACCCAGAAACUGUAGGGCAAGCAUGUUCCCUAGAAAGAUGGAGGCAAAUGAUUAAUACAACAACAAAAUCAUGAGAGCGACUAGGAUGGAGGUUCCCUAGAGAUGGCAGUAGGACUACUCUGCUCUUAUC